ACGAAUCCAUAUCGUUUAAACGUCAUAGCAUUUGGUAGCAUGUAUAAAGCAAUCUCAUGUUUAGAAGCAUCAACGGAAACUUUGUACCAAUUGCUACAAAAUUUCCAUUGAUGCUGCAAAACAUGAAAUUUCUUUCUUACCCUUUCCAGAAGAUGAUGAUAAAUACAGAACAGUAGGGAAGGCUCAGAACUUGUGAUCGUCCCUGACUUGAAGGAAGGCGCAAUCUUUCCAAAAGGAAAGGCUGAAGUGCAUGAUGAUAAAUUAUCCCCGUCGACGCAGCCCCAUAUACAGAGAUCACUGCUAUCCUUACUAGUCCAACAUACUGUUGCAACAAUGUGAUAUAAGAUAUGGACUACCAAUUGAUCGAGAGUAAAGGAGGGGCAAAAUAGUAAACUUGUACGAACCCAAUAGAGGUUAUCUUGUGCACGACACUUUUGUCAUUGGGAUAGAUUUUAAUUUGUUGCAGAAGGAGCCAAUAGAGGGAUGAAAUGGAUGCCAGAUCUAAGAGAGCUGUCAAAAGUCUCAAGUCUGGCUGCAGUUUACAUUUUGGUAAGUUAGAAAAAAGUGGGCAAGG